UACGGAGGGUGCAAGCGUUGUCCGGAAUCACUGGGUGUAAAGGGUGUGUAGGCGGGCCCGUAAGUCAGAGGUGAAAGCCCACGGCUCAACCGUGGAACGGCCUUUGAUACUGCGGGUCUUGAGUCCUGGAGAGGUUGCUAGAAUUCGUGGUGUAGCGGUGAAAUGCGUAGAUAUCACGAGGAAUACCAGAGGCGUAGGCGGGCAACUGGACAGGCACUGACGCUGAGGCACGAAAGCGUGGGGAGCGAACAGG
rnacentral:misc_RNA from 1 species